AAGUCGUAACAAGGUCUCCGUUGGUGAACCAGCGGAGGGAUCAUUACCGAGUUUACAAACUCCCAAACCCUUUGUGAACCUUACCAUAUCGUUGCUUCGGCGGGACCGCCCCGGCGCCUUCGGGCAACGGAACCAGGCGCCCGCCGGAGGCCCCAAACUCUUAUGUCUUUAGUGGUUUUCUCCUCUGAGUGACACAUAAACAAAUAAAUAAAAACUUUCAACAACGGAUCUCUUGGUUCUG
rnacentral:misc_RNA from 1 species